UACGUAGGGUGCAAGCGUUGUCCGGAAUUAUUGGGCGUAAGGAGCUCGUAGGUGGUUUGUCGCGUUGUUCGUGAAAACUCACAGCUCAACUGUGGGCGUGCGGGCGAUACGGGCAGACUAGAGUACUGCAGGGGAGACUGGAAUUCCUGGUGUAGCGGUGGAAUGCGCAGAUAUCAGGAGGAACACCGGUGGCGAAGGCGGGUCUCUGGGCAGUAACUGACGCUGAGGAGCGAAAGCGUGGGGAGCGAACAGG
rnacentral:rRNA from 1 species